rnacentral:tRNA from 1 species
UUUUAGGUGGCUCAGUGGAUAGAGCACUAGGUUUAGAGUCUGGAGGGCCUGGGUUCAAUUCCGACCUCAGAC